CUCACCUUGCCGGCGCCCCCCAGUCAGCGUCCCCCAGGCCAGCCCUGCCCCGUUAGCGCCCGCCCCGUCCGCGUCCUCUCCACGUGUGCCCCGCGGGCUGACAUUCUGUCCGCGUCCGCCGCCAGUGACCUCCCGCCGAUGUCCACCCCUCCACUUUCUUAGAGCCCCCAGGGCAGUAGUCUUCGCUCCCUAAUGUCCGCCCCACCAGCGCCCCUCGAGGCAGCGGCCACCCCCAACCUGCGGUGUCUUCCCAGUCGGAGCCCCCCGUCAGCGACCCCCCAGAGACUGUCCUCCUCGUCAACUAAUUUUGCAGGUCCUUCAGCGGCAUACGCAUGGAGCCAGAAAGCACAGUGUAUAGUCCUCUGUGUCUCUGUGGGUUUCUCUGGCCGUGCUGGGUCGUGGUUGAGGUGUGCGAGGUCUUUAGUUGUGGCGUGCAGACUCUCAGCUGUGGCGCGCGCUGCAGUUCCUGACCAGGGUGGAGCCCGGGCUGCCCGCGUGGGGAGCGUGGAGGCUUAGCCAUUGGGCCGCCAGGGGAAUCUCUGUGUCUGUCUUCUUUUGCUCAGUAUUUUUGAAAUAUAAUGAUUUUGAUUCCUUUAUCUGUAGUUGUGCUUUUCAUUUGAAUAAUAUUCCUUUGUGUGAAAAUAGUUUUCUUAUUGAUGUUUGGGUUGGUUUCACCUUUUGGCUGUUGUAACUAGUCACUAAGUUUAUUGUACAUUCUUUGUGGAUAUGUAUUAUUUCUUUGGGGUAAAUGUGUGG
rnacentral:lncRNA from 1 species